GAUAUAAAAUAUUUUAGAAUAACAAAAAUAUAUUAAUUAAUUGUGUGGAGGAAAAACUGUUGUCAUUCUGAACAGAUACCUAGCUUGAGGUUGUGUUUGUAGCUUUCAACACGUAGCUCUGUCUCUUCUCCAUAUGUUAGCUGUAUCCGCUCCUAAGCAGCUGGAGUAGUUUAUAAGGUCGUGUUUAGGGGAAAACAUAUACCCGCUAGCAACAUCAUGUAGCAGGAGGAAGUGUAGUGUGCGGUUUUGAUUCCUUUCCAUGGAUGUGUCACCACUGGUAUCAUGCAGGCUUCGAGAUGCUGCAAGGCUUCAAGCUAACACCAGAUGCACCGCUUUGAAGGCAAAACCGUUCAUGCUGAGGCCUCCUGCAAGAUCUCAUUUUUACGCAAACCAGCCUAAAGUUUGACACCAGAGUGACGAGAUCCACAUGAUGAAAUUGUUAGAGAAACUGAAUUUUCUUGCCCCUGCUUCCGGUCUCUGCCAGGAGAUUAAAGUCAGGGAAACAUUACAGGAGGCUGGAUAAUUGCCCCUGUGUCUCCAGCAGACAAAAGGCAACGCUCCGGCAAUUCCCUCGGUAAAUUGUCAAGAGAGACUCAAGGAUCCUUCAAGGCUGCAGCAAAUUGUACAGUGCUGUCUAACAAACUACCAAUCUCUGGAUAUUAUGAGGCUUCCAUAUAUCCUUGGCCGUAAUGACAGCUUGCACUGCUAUAAUGGAGUGCAGGCACAAGAUAGCUUUUGGCUGAGUGCUGGCUGCAGCCACCAACAGAUGAUUGCAACCUUUACUCCUGAGGACCACUUGAUCCACAGACAGGGGGAAAAAAAAAAAAAUCCGCAAGCAGUUAAUGAGUUGCCAUCCUUUCCUAGUGUUAAGGGUGUCUACAAAUUAACAGAGGCUUUUGUCAGGGCUCUCCUUUGCUCUCUCUCUCUUGCUCCCCCCUUGCCUCCUCUUGCCGCCACUUUCUCUCCUCAUCCUUGCGCCCUCCCCUCCAUCACGCCCUUCCUCCUGCUCUUCAAUUUUCUCUCUCUACCUGCCUGCUUCACGCUCCAGUAGCUCAGUGGCGGGAGCAGCGCUGUCUGGCUUUGGCUCUGAGCAGCAUUUAUUGUCAGCGCGGUUCAUGUUUAGAAUUAGCCAUUUAAUGAGAACAAAAGAAAUUAAUUGGUGGUUUAAGCCUAAUGAGACGUCUGUGAAAUUAACAGGCCUCAUCAAUUGAAACAAAUAAAAUCCUCCAGCUUGUUGUUGGGGAGCAUUAUUCUGACAAAGCUUUUGACACAAUGAUGAAUAGCGGGUCAGGAGAGACCAUCUGUGCUUUUUUAAACCCCUGCAGGAGGGGGGGGGUGGAAUGUGGGCUGGCUCUAAGAGAUGGUGAUAAAAGAGGGAGCGAGGCAAAAAAAGCGGGGGGAAGAGAAAAGAGGAGAGGAAAAAAAGCUGAGAAAAAAACAAAUUCACCAGCUUUAUUCAUCGCCCUUUAGCAUGAUACCGCUGUCUAACCAUGGUUACAAAGGAAAUAAAAAACACGGGCAUUAGCAUGUGAAAGGCACCGGGUCUCUGACUAUGCGUCCAGAAAGCCAAAGAGCUCUGAUUUCGAGGGAUAUUUAACCUCCAUUCAGUCAGCAACAAAGGCCUGGCUGUCGCGCUGAGAGCAGUGGUUCAGCCUGAUUGGGGCUCAGGGGGGAAGGAAGGGGGGGCAGAGGAGGGGACAGACAGGAUCACAGACCUCAUUUGUUCCCCCUCUUUACUUUAGCCUGUCUCUAUUCCCACUGAAGAGCAGCAUUUCCUCUCUACGCCCCCCUCCUCCUCCUCCUCCUGCUCCUGCUCUCAAAGUUGUAAAUGUAUGACCUGAGGAAUAAAUUGGAUGGGAAGGAGCCGAGGAGGCAGCACAGAGAGCAGUAAUACAUCUCUAUCAUGUUCGGUGACCUUUAUUUACUGCGCGUUGAGCAUCAUCGUCGGCCGUGUUAUGUGUCUGCCUGGCUUCCUUCUUCUUUUAAUGGCCCGGUGUGGAAGUUGCGGACGUGAUGGAAGUGGUUAUCUGCAUGUCUUCAACCCCAGCCCGCGACUCUGCCCUACCCUCACUCCCCCGGCCACCCAGUAGGGCCUGGCCCAGCCCUGCCUGUUUGUGUAUCAUGGAGAAACUGUUUGCUUUCCUGUGCUGAUCAAAUAAACAGGCCAUGUCUUUUGGGUGGGGGGUGUUGGGGGGGAGGAGGUGAAGAUAAGGAAUUGUUUGAUGGGGUAGAGAGAAACGAGAGCGAUUUAGGUCAGCUAAUCUGAUUUACACAGAGAUGGUCUGGCCAUUGCAGGGAGCAGUAAUUACAUAGAGGGAUUAGAAGCCCCUGCCACCCCACCCCACCCCCAACCUAAAGAGAGGAGAGAGGGGUGGAGGCUUAAAGGCCUGAGAACUGCUCGAGUAUGGUGCUGCAACAACAACAGCUUGAGCAGUUCUCCGUGCAGAUUAAAAAUGGCUGAGACUGUGUUCAAAACAAAGGGGGCAUUUGGCCAAACUAGUAUUACUUGGCGUGUUUACAUGCAUUUACAUCUGCUGCUUUUGAGCCCACAAUUAUCACAAUUUGCUUUCCGUGGCCAAACAUCACAGCUGCUUCUGAAUCCGGCUAUCAGCUCAAUCAUUCCCCAAAACCUGGAAGGAACCUGUUAGCAAAGUGCGCACAACAUUACAUCACAUGUUUCGUCACAUGCUCGUGGGCCCGAUCGCCCUCCAUUACUGCUGCCGCCUGUUUUGCAUUUCAUUUCACUGUGUGUUUGUGCGAUGCGUAAUUUGAGGAUUGAUCACUUUCAGCCCUGACAUUCGUUUCGUGUUUAGCUGUUUUUUCCGUCCACGCCGAGCAGAUAUUCAGAGCCUCUCUCGAUGCCAUUUGUCUGUGUAUUUAAAAUGCACAGCUGAAUAAUUGCACUGCCAGAGCCAUCACUUCAUCCACAGGAAUGACUUGCACGCUUGGCUGCUGCUUCUAAAGUGUGCUUGGCUAAUCCACUCAUUGCUUUGUGCAUUCAGUGCUGUGAACCAUAGGGCACCCGCUUGGAUGCCCGUGCAUAAAUUACUGCCAUGGAACAUAAAGUGCUGGGAGGAUUUUCCUUAACGAUCGCCAACGCUUUAAAUGCUUCUGCUUCAACAGUCGAUACUGCUCAGCCCAUUCAAUUAUUCAGCGGUCCGUCCCUCAUUAACAAAAUCCUGACCUUGACAUGUCUGCCCUAUUUCUCUCCCCUGACAGAAACAGCUCUCCAAACGACUCUGUUUGCUCUGAUAUUGGCUGGGAAAUCCAUGCAUAUUGAUAAGUUGUUUGCAGUGUAAUUGAAAAUGUCAGUUAUGAGGCCCAUGCAUACAAAGGUCAGCACCAAGAAUAGAAGCUGACAGGCUGCUAUUUGGAGAGAAUAUAUAGUAAAGGAAUGGCUGGGG